ACAUUAGAUAAAAAAAAUAGAGGGUGAAUAUUGGAGGGAAUAAUUUUUAGUUUUAGAAAAUUCUUCGAGUGUCUCUAUAUCAUUUCCAGCGAAAGCUCUACCGGAAUCCGACGAACCACCACCCGACGACUCCCUCGUUUUUCAUUAUUUUUACUGCCACAACUAGCUACUUCACUCUUCUUUCAAACCAACCAAACAGCCACCAUCGCAACCUAACCAUCUACCAUUUCUCGUCUUUCCGGCGAAACCUGAAACCCCAACGUUUUCCCCUUCCUUUUCCAUUAUUUUUUGGGUGAAGCCACCUGAAACGGAGGCUUGAAUCACCGGACCUCCGACAACCCCAAACCCACCACCAGAAACUACCGAAAACUGACCCUACACCUCCAUCGGAACAAAAAAGAAAACGCUCCCAGUCCCCUCCCUUUUUCAUUUACGAUUUUAUUUAUUUUGCAGCUAUUUUAGCGAGCUACAAGCUUCAAAUUCGAUGAGUUCGAAGCUCAGGUGAGUCAAUAGGCUGGUGAAAUCGGCGAGCUACGAGCUUCAAAUUAACAACCACCACUAUUUCACCGAAGUAGGCCAGAUCUGGCCUGAAAAAAAGCUUUCCUCCGCUUUGGAGGAUUUACAACAAACUCUGCUGGAAGAAAAUAGAGGUAUGCCACUUACUCAAGAACAGGAUGAGAGAGUUUGGUUAGACAUCACUUGUGGGCCGAGUAGAUAUGGGUAUGCAUAUGGAAUGCCGCAUAAAACCUUUCGUGAAUUUUCUUUUGAGUUUGAAGGCCUAAAUAGUUCAAAUCAUGAUGAAUCGAUGAAGAAAAAUUUGGCUAUGGAGAAAAAGAUUGUUGAGCUAUCUAGCCAAGCCGAAGAAUCACUGGCUAGGGAAAGGCGGUUGGAAUUACAGUUUGCGGGUCUUAAGGCUCAAUUCGAUGCAUUACUUGCUUCAGGAGGGAUUCCCCCUUGUUCUGGUGAUGUCACUUUCCCUCCUCGACCUCCUCAAUCUCAACCUACUCAAUAUCCAAUGUAUGGUCAACAAAGAAAUAUGACUAUGAGUCUAGUAGUGAUGAUUAUGUGGCAAACACACUACCACAUUAGUGAAGUUUAGACUUGUGAUAGAUAAUCUAAGUUAACUUAUGGAUAAUUUUGUUAACUUUAUAAUUUUGUGAUGGGAAUUAUUUGUUUUGUGAAUAUAUGAUAACAUUGCAAUGUAUUAUAUAACUUAUGGAUAUCAUGGUUUUUGUUUAAUA